UAGGUGUGUGUGAACUAAUACUAGGCUGAAUGAGGUAAUUUGUAGUAGAAUGAAUGAAUGACAAUACAUGAACGCGUAAGAGUUCAUUGUGCUGUGAGUGAGAGGCUUGUACUUGUCUGUGUUAGAGGUAAACUUGUCACGGAAGAGGCGGGGUAAAAGUUGGCUCGCGCAUGCGUAGAUCCCAAACUGAGCGACAUUGCUUUAAUACAGAGCGUCCAGUAGGUGGCAGCGAAUUAUCGGCCAAUAACUAUGAGCUCCAGAGAAGAAUGCGAAACAUGUCUAAUGGCAACGUGAGUAAAGACAGAAUAGGUCAAGCAGCCGCAAUUUUAAAUAGUAUUUUAUCAUCACCGGAUGCAACAAGCAGUGUGACCUGCGCCUUAAACGAAAGAGCAUCUUUGACCGCCCGCAGUGAUUCGGUUGAGACACAAUUAGCAUCUCUGUUUCGUGCUGGAGCAGCUAGCCGAAGUUCGGCGGUGUCAACAGUAAAUCAAGGACCAAGUUCGGUGGCUCCUGUAGCUCCACGUUUCCAAGCCCAGCAAUGUUUUGGAUCUUGGACUACUAACAGGAGAAGAAGAUGCAUAGUUUGCUUUGUUGAUCAUCGGAUUUCUCUUCAGAGUUUUUCCUGGCUUCAAGAAAUCCUUCUGGACUGAAGACUGGAAACAGAACAUCUCUGUUUAACAUAUCUGAGCCAAUAUAGACAACACUUGGGAAUCCAACCCUUACAAUACACUGUGCUGACAGACCAAGACUUAACAAGAGUUGUGACUGACAUUCUACAAAGGACACCAAAUGCUGGUGAAACUUAUGUGCUUGGGAGCCUUGCAUCCAGAGAAAUACGUGUUCAGCGUUGGCGUGUUAGACAGUGUCUACAGGAAGUUGAUCCAAUUGGACGGUCAUUUCGCAGGAGGCGUACCAUAUGUCGACGGGUUUAUAAUGUUCAGACUCCAAAUCAACAAUUUUUUUAUUUUACACAAAAGUAUUAUACAAUGUUUUGCAUUGUACUAGGUACCUUAUUUAACUGUUCUUUAAUGCUAAUGUUCAGUCCGCAAAAGGUUGUGUUGCAAACGCAAGCCUCGUUGUUUACUUUUAGAAGUACCUUUUUAAUACCCCAGUUGUAAUGAGUGUAAUGAAAAUGCAUUUCCACAAAAAGAAUGGAUGUUUAUUUUUUUAGAACAAUCUCUUUUUUGAUACUUGGUUUAAUCUUGGGCACACUGUCUUGACCUGUUCCCACAUGUGUAUAAGCAUUAAGAUGCUGCAUGGCGUUUUGCUACCUUUAUGUUUGUAAGGUUAGGUAAAUCUGAAGUACGGUGAACAAUAAGUAGGAAUACUGAUUGUUGAAACAAUUGUUUAUGUUGUUCCUUUUAAAUUGUGCUUUUUUUUCUUUAACAAGCAUUUUGACAGUAACCACAAGCUGGUGAGAUGGCGAAUGGUUGUUCAUGGCUGUGUGGAUGGCUUUAGUCGAACUAUAAUAUAUCUAAGAUGCUGUAACAACAAUAGAGCCUCUACUGUGUUGUGCCUGUUUGUAAUGGGAGUGAAUCAUUUUGGUUUGCCUUCAAGAGUAAGGUGUGAUCAUGGAAUGGAAAACACACUUGUGGCUCGUUUCAUGUCGGAAAGACGGGGGCUGAACAGACGUAGUGUCAUUGCAGGCUUGUCAGUACACAAUCAGCGCAUUGAAAGAUUGUGGGCAGAGCUCAAUAGGGUGGUCUCGAACCAUUUCAUAAAUCUUUUUAGUUUCAUGGAGCAGCAUGGUAUCCUUGACUCUUUGAGAUUCAUCUAUUUUGUCUACAUUUUGUCUACAUGUCAAGAAUUGAAUAAGCAACAGUAGAGUUCAGAAACCAAUGGAAUAACCAUGGCCUCUCCACACAGAAUGGGCAGACUCCACUUCAGUUGUGGCACACAGGUGUCAUAAACAACAUGGCACAACAAAAUACAGCCGUUGAUUCUAUUUUUGAGCUACAUGAACAUUUUGGAGUAGAUCAUGGGGGACCAUUGCCCGAUAUUCAGACUAGAAAUAAUGUCAUUCCAGAUAUUGAUGUAGGUAUAAAUGACACGGCACUUAAUUUGAUGCACCGCACAUUUAAUCCACUGCAAAAUGAUGGAAACCAUGGCAUCGAUUUAUUCUGCUCUGUAGUAACUUUUCUUGAACAAUAUCAGUUGUAAUCUACAGAAUUUAGUUUUUUGGAGCAAAAUUUAAAUUUUGAAAGCGAAGAUAAUCCCUAAAUGUAUAAAACUGAAAUGUUCUGUCACUUUGUGAGAAUACAUUUCCAGUAAUAAGAUUUAAAUGCGUAUUGUAUUUUAUUUGAGGUUUAGAAUGUAUGUAAAGCUGAAAUAAACAGUAGUGACAAUACAUUACUGAAUCUCUCUGUUUUCACAUUCUGGAAGGAGUACUUUUACAAAACGAGAAGUACAAAUUCCAAGAGAAGAUAAACAUUGGUGUAGACCACCAGAUUGAACCAGUAAGCACAAGAAAAAAGAUAGUAAAACUUCCAACUGGGAAAUUUAUGGUAUGAAAAUAAACUGGAUGUUGUGAGGUAAUUCUAAACCUUUGAAAAUUAGAAUGGUAAAAGAAAAAAAGCCGGACAGUAUAUAAUGCCCUGCAGGUAGCAAUAAAACAAAGAUGAGAAUUUAUCAAAUUUUGAAAAGGAAAAAAAAAAGUAACAAAGAUUACAACAUAGAAUGUGUUUGAAUUCAACUUAAAAUAACUUAUUUUUUAUGUUGACCAUUCUCUCGUCCCUGCUAGUGCCCAGUGUUCCAUUAUAUAACUUCUGAACAAAAUCACUUUGCUAACCUGGACCAGCCUUAGGUUUUGCAAAUAAAUGUCUAAACUUUAAAGCAACAUAACUAUGUACUGUGAGAAAUGUAAUUCAAGCAAAAAAGUGUUUAUGUUCUUCCAAAUCCCUGGGUGUUCCCUAAAGCAAAGUCCAUGCUUUCCUUAAGAGCCUCAUAAGAAGUUAUGAGCGGGAGUUUCAAACAGUUUAUACAUGUGUUGGCCAUGGGGAGCAUUCGUUUUGAGGAGCUUUCUUCACUGCCCUCAUGGUUAAACUCGAUGGAUGGUGCUGGAGAAAAGCCGACUGGUGGUAUCUCAUUUGCUCCAGUUGCAAAUACGAGGAUGUUUUGAAGCUUUGAUGAUCCUUCCUCAUCUGUGGAAAAAAAUACAACUAUUAAUUGAGUUUCCAUUUUGGUACUAUUUGCCAUUUACAGUUCAAAGUACAUUAAAAAGUUGUGACGACUAUGCUAGAAUAUUACACCGUACAGUUAAAACCAGAUGUGUACAUAGACUCUAUCAAAGGACCCCAACAUUGUAUUCCUCUCUCCCCGAAAUUAUAUCAGACAAAAUGUUUCCCAUUUUAGGUCAGUUGGGAUUACCAAAAUAUUAUAUUUGAAUUUGUUUUGUACCAUUUCUGUAUUACUUUUUUUUUUUAAUUCACAACUUUUAAUGCAACUCUGAACAUUUGACUGAAUUGGAAGCAAACCUGUGGAUGUAUUAUUGGAUAACACCUCAAACACAUUGUUUCCUUGAGUGACAUCAGGGAAAAAACAAAAAAUUAAAUUAAAUGCUAAAUAUCAGGAAAAGAAUUGUGACUCCCCAUAAGUCUGUCUCAACCUUGAGUACAAUUUCUUAUCCCUGAAGUCGCCAUAUUCAUCUGUUUAAUUAAAUGCAAGUACAGUAUGUCCAGCCCACCAAACUGUAUAGGAAAGAGAUUGGUUCUGUCUUAAAGAGAUUAAUGUGUUUUGAUCUAAAAUGUCUGUAUCAAAAGACAGAACAAAAGCAUAAGACCUAAUGAAGAAGGGGGAAGUUUGCAAAUCUCAUACCACCAUCCCAAAUUAUGAAGUAUGGGGGUGGCAGCAUCACAUGUGGCUGCUUUCCUGUAGGAGAAACAACAUGGCACAACAAAAUACAGCAGUUUA